rnacentral:rRNA from 1 species
AUUGAACGCUGGCGGCAUGCUUUACACAUGCAAGUCGAACGGCAGCGCGGGGCAACCUGGCGGCGAGUGGCGAACGGGUGAGUAAUACAUCGGAACGUACCCAGAAGUGGGGGAUAACGUAGCGAAAGUUACGCUAAUACCGCAUACGUUCUACGGAAGAAAGUGGGGGACCUUCGGGCCUCAUGCUUUUGGAGCGGCCGAUGUCUGAUUAGCUAGUUGGUGAGGUAAAGGCUCACCAAGGCGACGAUCAGUAGCUGGUCUGAGAGGACGACCAGCCACACUGGGACUGAGACACGGCCCAGACUCCUACGGGAGGCAGCAGUGGGGAAUUUUGGACAAUGGGCGCAAGCCUGAUCCAGCAAUGCCGCGUGAGUGAAGAGGGCCUUCGGGUUGUAAAGCUCUUUUGUCAGGGAAGAAACGGCUGAGGAUAAUACCUUCGGCUAAUGACGGUACCUGAAGAAUAAGCACCGGCUAACUACGUG